GACGAACGCUGGCGGCGUGCUUAACACAUGCAAGUCGAACGGAAAGGCCCUGCUUUUGUGGGGUGCUCGAGUGGCGAACGGGUGAGUAACACGUGAGUAACCUGCCCUUGACUUUGGGAUAACUUCAGGAAACUGGGGCUAAUACCGGAUAGGAGCUCCUGCUGCAUGGUGGGGGUUGGAAAGUUUCGGCGGUUGGGGAUGGACUCGCGGCUUAUCAGCUUGUUGGUGGGGUAGUGGCUUACCAAGGCUUUGACGGAUAGCCGGCCUGAGAGGGUGACCGGCCACAAUGGGACUGAGAGACGGACCAGACUCCUACGGGAGGCAGCAGUGGGGAAUAUUGCACAAUGGGCGGGAGCCUGAUGCAGCGACGCUGCGUGCGGGAUGACGGCCUUCGGGUUGUGAACCGCUUUCGCCUGUGACGAAGCGUGAGUGACGGUAAUGGGUAAAGAAGCACCGGCUAACUACGUG
rnacentral:rRNA from 1 species